rnacentral:rRNA from 1 species
UCCAGACUCCUACGGGAGGCAGCAGUGGGGGAUAUUGCACAAUGGGCGCAAGCCUGAUGCAGCGACGCCGCGUGAGCGAAGAAGUAUUUCGGUAUGUAAAGCUCUAUCAGCAGGGAAGAAGAAAGACGGUACCUGACUAAGAAGCCCCGGCUAACUACGUGCCAGCAGCCGCGGUAAUACGUAGGGUGCAAGCGUUAUCCGGAUUUACUGGGCGUAAAGGGAGCGCAGGCGGCGCGCCAAGUCUGAUGUGAAACCCCGGGGCUCAACCCCGGGCAUGCAUUGGAAACUGGCGGGCUGGAGUGCCGGAGAGGUAAGCGGAAUUCCUGGUGUAGCGGUGAAAUGCGUAGAUAUUAGGAGGAACACCAGUGGCGAAGGCGGCUUACUGGACGGCAACUGACGCUGAGGCUCGAAAGCGUGGGGAGCAAACAGGAUUAGAUACCCGCGUA